rnacentral:lncRNA from 1 species
AUCUUUGUUCGUUAUUGAUUAGCGCAUUUAGCUCAUCAUGUUACAUUUGUACUUGGUUGAUUGUAGAACUCUUACAGAUAAAAGAUGUGAUCUUCCAAUUUGUUUUCUUGUCAAUCUCAUCUAUCUCCUAUUGCAUUACGCAAAUUGUCUGAUUCUUUGUAGCUUCAAUGUAUGUAGAAUGUGAAACACCUAACCUGGAAUAUAAUACUCCUUCCCUCCCUAUACAAGUUAGAGCCGAUUUGACUUGUGCGGAGCUUUAGAGUAAAAUGUUUAAAUAGAUUUUUAUAUUGAGUUAUAAUGUUUGAAUAAUGAUUUGAAAUAUGAGAUAAUUGAAUUUGUUGAAACGAUGUCACUUUCAAGUUCGAAAUAACAUAAAGUACUCGGUAAUAAUAGUUUAUC